rnacentral:ncRNA from 1 species
ACUGACAAAGCCAAACCACCCGCAAGGGUGGGGCGGAAAGCCUCGGGUCCCGCCUUGGGCGGGAAAGCCGGGUUGCCAAAA